rnacentral:rRNA from 1 species
AACGAACGCUGGCGGCAGGCUUAACACAUGCAAGUCGAACGGUUGUAGCAAUACAGCAGUGGCAGACGGGUGAGUAACACGUGGGAACCUUCCUAGGGGUACGGAACAACUCAGGGAAACUUGAGCUAAUACCGUAUACGUCCGUGAGGAGAAAGAUUUAUCGCCCUUAGACGGGCCCGCGUCGGAUUAGCUAGUUGGUGGGUAACGGCCUACCAAGGCGACGAUCCGUAGCUGAUCUUAGAGGAUGAUCAGCCACACUGGGACUGAGACACGGCCCAGACUCCUACGGGAGGCAGCAGUGGGGAAUCUUGGACAAUGGGCGCAAGCCUGAUCCAGCCAUGCCGCGUGAGUGAAGAAGGUCUUCGGAUUGUAAAGCUCUUUGCCAGGGACGAUAAUGACGGUACCUGGAGAAUAAGCCCGGCAAACUUCGUGCCAGCAGCCGCGGUAAU